AUUGAACGCUGGCGGCAGGCCUAACACAUGCAAGUCGAGCGGAUGAAGGGAGCUUGCUCCUGGAUUCAGCGGCGGACGGGUGAGUAAUGCCUAGGAAUCUGCCUGGUAGUGGGGGAUAACGUCCGGAAACGGGCGCUAAUACCGCAUACGUCCUGAGGGAGAAAGUGGGGGAUCUUCGGACCUCACGCUAUCAGAUGAGCCUAGGUCGGAUUAGCUAGUUGGUGGGGUAAAGGCCUACCAAGGCGACGAUCCGUAACUGGUCUGAGAGGAUGAUUAGUCACACUCGAACUGAGACACGGUCCAGACUCCUACGGGAGGCAGCAGUGGGGAAUAUUGGACAAUGGGCGAAAGCCUGAUCCAGCCAUGCCGCGUGUGUGAAGAAGGUCUUCGGAUUGUAAAGCACUUUAAGUUGGGAGGAAGGGCAGUAAGUUAAUACCUUGCUGUUUUGACGUUACCAACAGAAUAAGCACCGGCUAACUUCGUG
rnacentral:rRNA from 1 species